rnacentral:lncRNA from 1 species
CCCGUACAUCAAUAUAUAUGGUUAAGAGGUGGGGAUCUCAACGGGUUUCAAAUUCUCAAACAGGAGGGGGUGGGGUGACCCAAGGGACUCCCCCUAUAUUUCAUCUGAUUUGUUAUAUUGUCCCAUACAUGAAUAUAUGGUUUAGGGGUGGGGAUCUCGACCAUUUUUAAAUUAUAAAACAGGAGGGGUGGGGUGACCCAAGGGACUCCCCCUAUAUUUCAUCUGAUUUGUUAUAUU